rnacentral:rRNA from 1 species
UACGAAGGGUGCAAGCGUUAGUCGGAAUUACUGGGCGUAAAGCGUGCGUAGGCGGUUUUCUAAGUCUGCCGUGAAAGCCCCGGGCUCAACCUGGGAAUGGCGGUGGAUACUGGAAAGCUGGAGUGCGGUAGAGGAGGGUGGAAUUCCCGGUGUAGCGGUGAAAUGCGUAGAGAUCGGGAGGAACAUCAGUGGCGAAGGCGGCCCUCUGGACCAGCACUGACGCUGAGGCACGAAAGCGUGGGGAGCAAACAGG